rnacentral:rRNA from 1 species
AGCGUAUAUUAAAGUUGUUGCAGUUAAAAAGCUCGUAGUUGAAUUUCGGGGUCAGUAGGUUGGUCGUGCCACCGGUACGUACUGGUCUCACUGAUUCCUCCUUCCUGAUGAGCUGUAAUACCAUUAAUUUGGUGUUGCAGGGAAUCUGGACUGUUACUUUGAAAAAAUUAGAGUGUUUAAAGCAGGCUAACGCUUGAAUACAUUAGCAUGGAAUAAUGAAAUAGGACGUUCGAUCCUAUUUUGUUGGUUUCUAGGAUUGACGUAAUGAUUAAUAGGGAUAGUUGGGGGCAUUAGUAUUCAAUUGUCAGAGGUGAAAUUCUUGGAUUUAUUGAAGACUAACUACUGCGAAAGCAUUUGCCAAGGAUGUUUUCAUUAAUCAAGAACGAAAGUUAGGGGAUCGAAGACGAUCAGAUACCGUCGUAGUCUUAACCAUAAACUAUGCCGACUAGGGAUCGGAUGAUGUUAAUUUUUUAAUGACUC